rnacentral:rRNA from 1 species
GCAAGUCGAGCGGCCAGCAAUGGCAGCGGCAAACGGGUGAGUAAUACGUAUCUAACCUACCAUUUAGAAGGGGAUAACUGAUCGAAAGAUUAGCUAAUACCCUAUAGGAAAAUGUUUCGCAUGAAAUAUUUUUUAAAGUUCCGUUUGGAACACUUUAUGAUGGGGGUGCGGCUUAUCAGAUAGUUGGUGAGGUAACGGCCCACCAAGUCAAUGACGAGUAGCUAUGCUGAGAGGUAGAAUAGCCACAAUGGGACUGAGACACGGCCCAUACUCCUACGGGAGGCAGCAGUAGGGAAUUUUUCUCAAUGGGCGAAAGCCUGAAGGAGCAAUACCGCGUGAACGAUGAAGGUCUUCGGAUUGUAAAGUUCUUUUAUUAGGGACGAAAGAUAACAGUAGGAAAUGAUUGUUAUUUGACUGUACYUUUUGAAUAAGUAACGGCAAACUUCGUGCCAGCAGCCGCGGUAAUACGAAGGUUACAAGCGUUAUCCGGAUUUACUGGGCGUAAAGCGAGCGCGGGCUGAUUAACAAGUCUGGUGUUAAAUACUGUUGCUUAACAAUAGUAUGCAUUGGAAACUGUUAAUCUAGAGUAUGAUAGGGAGUUCAAGAACUCCAUGUGGAGCGGUGGAAUGCGUAGAUAUAUGGAAGAAUACCAGUGGUGAAGACGUGAACUUAGGUCAAUACUGACGCUUAGGCUCGAAAGUGUGGGGAGCAAAUAGGAUUAGAUACCCUAGUAGUCCACACCGUAAACGAUGAUCAUUAGGUGUAGCCACGAUAGUGGUUGUGCCGUAGUUAACACGUUAAAUGAUCCGCCUGGGUAGUACAUUCGCAAGAAUGAAACUCAAACGGAAUUGACGGGGACCCGCACAAGUGGUGGAGCAUGUUGUUUAAUUCGACAGUACACGCAAAACCUUACCAGGGUUUGACAUGUUGAGCAAAGUUGUAGAAAUACAAUGGAGGUUAACUCAAACACAGGUGGUGCAUGGUUGUCGUCAGCUCGUGUCGUGAGAUGUUGGGUUAAGUCCCGCAACGAGCGCAACCCUUUUCGUUAGUUAAUUUAUCUAGCGAUACUGCUUACGCAAGUAAGAGGAAGGUGGGGAUGACGUCAAAUCAUCAUGCCCUUUAUACCCUGGGCUACAAACGUGCUACAAUGGUAAAUACAAACCGUCG